rnacentral:rRNA from 1 species
UACAGAGGUCCCAAGCGUUGUUCGGAUUCACUGGGCGUAAAGGGCGCGUAGGUGGCGGCCCAAGUCCAUGGUGAAAGCUCGAUGCUCAACAUCGAGUCGGCCACGGAUACUGGGUUGCUCGAGCACUGUAGGGGCAGAUGGAAUUCCGGGUGUAGCGGUGGAAUGCGUAGAGAUCCGGAAGAACACCGGUGGCGAAGGCGGUCUGCUGGGCAGUUGCUGACACUGAGGCGCGACAGCGUGGGGAGCAAACAGGG